GCGCCGUUGGUUUAGUGGUAAAAUAUCUCCGUUGCCAAACGAGAAUGCCCCCGGGUCCGAUUUCCCGGACGGCGGCA
rnacentral:tRNA from 1 species